GAUGAACGCUGGCGGCAGGCCUAACACAUGCAAGUCGAGCGAGCGGCGGACGGGUGAGUAAUGUCUGGGAAACUGCCUGAUGGAGGGGGAUAACUACUGGAAACGGUAGCUAAUACCGCAUACCAUCAGAUGUGCCCAGAUGGGAUUAGCUCGUAGGUGGGGUAACGGCUCACCUAGGCGACGAUCCCUAGCUGGGCUGAGAGGAGGACCAGCCACACUGGAACUGAGACACGGUCCAGACUCCUACGGGAGGCAGCAGUGGGGAAUAUUGCACAAUGGGCGCAAGCCUGAUGCAGCCAUGCCGCGGGUAUGAAGAAGGCCUUCGGGUUGUAAAGUACUUUCAGCGGGGAGGCGUUACCCGCAGAAGAAGCACCGGCUAACUCCGUGCCAGCAGCCGCGGUAAUAC
rnacentral:rRNA from 1 species